rnacentral:lncRNA from 1 species
AAUAGGAGGAGACCUAUGAAUUCUGCUGUGUUGAGUGCAAGACUCUCUGCUCUAAUGCCUACCUCGUGCUGCAAUUUUAGGUGGCAAGUUCCCUCCCAGACCAGCCCCAUCUGACUGGCCUAAACUGUGACAGCCGAUCUGCUGCCCAGCUGUACCUGGAGCAGGAGGGAGGCCACAGUGAUGUGCUGUGGGAGCACCUUUUGGGGCUUGAUGCUCAAAGCCCUACCAACAGCAGCCUUCGAAAGCCGCAUAGCUCCAGGGCCGCUCUCUGAGGGGACCCCCCCAGCCAUGUGUGUCCCUUGCAUGCCACUAGGAAUCCAAGGGAUAAUAAGAUAAUGGAUUGGGAUGAUGUGGUAGCUACAAGACACACUUCUCCAAACCACACAUGCAGUCUGGUGGGAUCUUAUCCGUCAAUGAAGAGAAAAGCACUGUUGGGAUGAGGCACAGUAGUUGAGAGAGAAACUACCCAGCCAUUCUGAAUGUGAAAAGAAUACUGUGGCUGGCUGGCCUGAAAGAGACCUUGGAUAAGCAGAAUGUAACUGCUUCCAGUGGCUUGCCAAGAUCUGGGUGGGAAAAUCCUUCCUUUGAAGAGGAUUUCCCAUCUUCUACGAAGGACUCCCCAACUGCUGAGCUUUGUUGCCGUGGCCUCGUGUCUGGGAUUUGCUUUCCUCAGGACCUUGAAACCUAUUCCCCUCCCCAACUCCUCAUGGAGUUCUCUGCAGUCUGUCUCUGGGAGGAUAAGAAAAGCUUCAAAAGAAAAAGGCUUCUGCAGCUGAGGUCAGUCUGUUACUUUGGAAACUCUCUGGACUGUGACCCCGCAUCAUGGAAGGAUUCGGCAGAGUGAACUGAAAUGUGCUGGCGUAUCAGAAGUACAGUCAAGGGAUGAAGAUCAAGACAGAGAACAAACAGUCCUGCUGAGCUAGAGCCCUGACCCCCAGUGUGCAAGGAGCUGUCAAGCCAAUCCCUGGCUGUC